rnacentral:rRNA from 1 species
GUCGCAAGACCAAAGUGGGGGACCUUCGGGCCUCAUGCCAUCAGAUGUGCCCAGAUGGGAUUAGCUAGUAGGUGGGGUAACGGCUCACCUAGGCGACGAUCCCUAGCUGGUCUGAGAGGAUGACCAGCCACACUGGAACUGAGACACGGUCCAGACUCCUACGGGAGGCAGCAGUGGGGAAUAUUGCACAAUGGGCGCAAGCCUGAUGCAGCCAUGCCGCGUGUGUGAAGAAGGCCUUCGGGUUGUAAAGCACUUUCAGCGGGGAGGAAGGCGUUAAGGUUAAUAACCUUGGCGAUUGACGUUACCCGCAGAAGAAGCACCGGCUAACUCCGUGCCAGCAGCCGCGGUAAUACGGAGGGUGCAAGCGUUAAUCGGAAUUACUGGGCGUAAAGCGCACGCAGGCGGUCUGUCAAGUCGGAUGUGAAAUCCCCGGGCUCAACCUGGGAACUGCAUUCGAAACUGGCAGGCUAGAGUCUUGUAGAGGGGGGUAGAAUUCCAGGUGUAGCGGUGAAAUGCGUAGAGAUCUGGAGGAAUACCGGUGGCGAAGGCGGCCCCCUGGACAAAGACUGACGCUCAGGUGCGAAAGCGUGGGGAGCAAACAGGAUUAGAUACCCUGGUAGUCCACGCCGUAAACGAUGUCGAUUUGGAGGUUGUGCCCUUGAGGCGUGGCUUCCGGAGCUAACGCGUUAAAUCGACCGCCUGGGGAGUACGGCCGCAAGGUUAAAACUCAAAUGAAUUGACGGGGGCCCGCACAAGCGGUGGAGCAUGUGGUUUAAUUCGAUGCAACGCGAAGAACCUUACCUGGUCUUGACAUCCACAGAACUUUCCAGAGAUGGAUUGGUGCCUUCGGGAACUGUGAGACAGGUGCUGCAUGGCUGUCGUCAGCUCGUGUUGUGAAAUGUUGGGUUAAGUCCCGCAACGAGCGCAACCCUUAUCCUUUGUUGCCAGCGGUCCGGCCGGGAACUCAAAGGAGACUGCCAGUGAUAAACUGGAGGAAGGUGGGGAUGACGUCAAGUCAUCAUGGCCCUUACGACCAGGGCUACACACGUGCUACAAUGGCAUAUACAAAGAGAAGCGACCUCGCGAGAGCAAGCGGACCUCAUAAAGUAUGUCGUAGUCCGGAUUGGAGUCUGCAACUCGACUCCAUGAAGUCGGAAUCGCUAGUAAUCGUAGAUCAGAAUGCUACGGUGAAUACGUUCCCGGGCCUUGUACACACCGCCCGUCACACCAUGGGAGUGGGUUGCAAAAGAAGUAGGUAGCUUAACCUUCGGGAGGGCGCUUACCACUUUGUGAUUCAUGACUGGGGUGAAGUCGUAACAAGGUAACCGUAGGGGAACCUGCGGUUGGAUCACCUCCUUACCUUAAAGAA